rnacentral:rRNA from 1 species
UACGUAGGGAGCAAGCGUUGUCCGGAAUCAUUGGGCGUAAAGCGCGCGUAGGCGGCCCUGUAAGUCCGUUGUGAAAGUCAAAGGCUCAACCUUUGAAAGCCGAUGGAUACUGCAAGGCUAGAGUCCGGAAGAGGCGAGUGGAAUUCCUGGUGUAGCGGUGGAAUGCGCAGAUAUCAGGAGGAACACCAAUAGCGAAGGCAGCUCGCUGGGACGGUACUGACGCUAAGGCGCGAAAGCGUGGGGAGCGAACAGG